CAAUAGCGUAUAUUUAAGUUGCUGCAGUUAAAAAGCUCGUAGUUGGAUUUCGGGUGGGAAUGGCCGGUCUGCCGUUUCGGUGUGCACUUGCUACGCCCACCUUGCUGCCGGGGACGUGCUCUUGAGUUCACGCUCGGGACCCGGAGUCGGCGAGGUUACUUUGAGUAGAUUAGAGUGUUCAAAGCAGGCCUACGCUCUGAAUACAUUAGCAUGGAAUAACACGAUAGGACUCUGGCCUAUCUUGUUGGUCUGUAGGACCGGAGUAAUGAUUAAGAGGGACAGUCGGGGGCAUUCGUAUUUCAUUGUCAGAGGUGAAAUUCUUGGAUUUAUGAAAGACGAACUACUGCGAAAGCAUUUGCCAAGGAUGUUUUCAUUAA
rnacentral:rRNA from 1 species